rnacentral:rRNA from 1 species
GACGAACGCUGGCGGCGUGCUUAACACAUGCAAGUCGAACGGUGAAGCUCCAGCUUGCUGGAGUGGAUCAGUGGCGAACGGGUGAGUAACACGUGAGCAACCUGCCCCUGACUCUGGAAUAAGCGCUGGAAACGGCGUCUAAUACUGGAUACGAGAAGGGUCCGCAUGGGCACUUUCUGGAAAGUUUUUCGGUUGGGGAUGGGCUCGCGGCCUAUCAGCUUGUUGGUGAGGUAAUGGCUCACCAAGGCGACGACGGGUAGCCGGCCUGAGAGGGCGACCGGCCACACUGGGACUGAGACACGGCCCAGACUCCUACGGGAGGCAGCAGUGGGGAAUAUUGCACAAUGGGCGAAAGCCUGAUGCAGCGACGCCGCGUGAGGGAUGACGGCCUUCGGGUUGUAAACCUCUUUCAGCAGGGAAGAAGCGAAAGUGACGGUACCUGCAGAAGAAGCGCCGGCUAACUACGU